rnacentral:rRNA from 1 species
UACAGAGGGGGCAAGCGUUGUUCGGAAUUACUGGGCGUAAAGGGCGCGUAGGCGGCCUGCUAAGUCGAACGUGAAAUCCCCGAGCUCAACUCGGGAACUGCGUCCGAUACUGGCAGACUUGAAUCCGGGAGAGGGAUGCGGAAUUCCAGGUGUAGCGGUGAAAUGCGUAGAUAUCUGGAGGAACACCGGUGGCGAAGGCGGCAUCCUGGACCGGCAUUGACGCUGAGGCGCGAAAGCCAGGGGAGCAAACGGG